UGGUCGCAGGUUCGAAUCCUGCACGACCCACCAAUAUACAAGGUGGUAACUGGUAGAGAACGUGAAGGUUAACGUUGCUUUAGCAACGGCCCGAAGGGCGAGGCGAAGCCGAGUCAUCCUGCACGACCCACCA
rnacentral:sRNA from 3 species